GACGAACGCUGGCGGCGUGCUUAACACAUGCAAGUCGAACGAUGAAGCCGGAGCUUGCUCUGGUGAAUUAGUGGCGAACGGGUGAGUAACACGUGAGUAACCUGCCCUUGACUCUGGGAUAACUGCGGGAAACUGUAGCUAAUACCGGAUACGACCCUCGGAGGCAUCUCCUGGGGGUGGAAAGAAUUUCGGUCAAGGAUGGACUCGCGGCCUAUCAGCUAGUUGGUGAGGUAAAGGCUCACCAAGGCGACGACGGGUAGCCGGCCUGAGAGGGUGACCGGCCACACUGGGACUGAGACACGGCCCAGACUCCUACGGGAGGCAGCAGUGGGGAAUGUUGCACAAUGGGCGCAAGCCUGAUGCAGCAACGCCGCGUGGGGGAUGACGGCCUUCGGGUUGUAAACCUCUUUUAGCAGGGAAGAAGCGAAAGUGACGGUACCUGCAGAAAAAGCACCGGCUAACUACGUGCCAGCAGCCGCCGUAA
rnacentral:rRNA from 1 species